rnacentral:rRNA from 1 species
UACACACCGCCCGUCGAAACCACGAAAGUUGUAUUAGCCAGAAGCAAAUGAGUUAACCGCAAGGAGACAGUUUGCCAAGGCUUGUGCGAUGAUUGGGGUU